GCCAGAUGCCGUCAUCGUCAGCAGCCCUGCCCCUGCUCUUUCUCCAAGCGGUGCGCAGUCCCUGGGGCAGUGGCCGGGUGGGACCCGUCGUCCUGGGCCUCCGGGGGCCCGCGUGGAGGAGCCUGGCACGCGGAGGGCCUCGGUCCCCGCGGACGCAGCGCGCUGACCCCUUUCUGCCAGAUGGCAGCGAGCACCUCUGUUUGUGAUUAGGGUGCUGGCUGCACUCGGAACCCAGCAAGCCCAUGAUGAAAGCUUCGAGAAGAACAUUGUUAGAGACUUUUCAUAGUUUCCCAAGUAAAUAUUACACUCACUGCUGCUUGAAUUACUAAUGCCUUGGAAGCCGCGACCGAAAUCUGUUCCCAAACAGGCUCCUCUUUUUUUCUCUGUCACCUAGGCACUCGGCAUUGUUGUCGAAUUGUUUUUCCUGGGCUCGCUCACGGCUCAGAACAUUCCCUCAGAGUGACCUCCUGGCACCUCGCGAGCCCGGAUCAUCUCCCAGCGCCUCUGCCCCAGCUCCUUAUCCCGCAGGAGGCAGGUGAUCCCCAAGUCCUAUGAUGUGGCCGCAGGAAGGGGAGCAGUGGAGCGCCGGCCACACAUCCUCUGCAGGGACACCGGGCUCUGAACAGGCAGCCGCCGGCAGAAGGACAGAGCCCUGCCCACGCGUCCCCUGCAGGCCCCCUCCGGGGCCCUCAACCUCUUCCUCGGCCUCCUGGAGACCAAAGGGCCCUUGGGUCUUCGCCGUCUUUAUUGCUGCUUAUAAAAAGCUAGUAAGCAGCUGGUUUGGUUUAGAGAAGUAUGCGGCCAGGGUUAUUAAACAGAACCAAAGCUGAAUAAUGAGGAGAGGAAAGGGAAAGCAAGCCGGCUUGUACACGCAGGGACGGUGACAGCUCGUAAAUCCCAGCGCCGCCUGUUUCUGCCUGGGUCUCUGGCCGGGGCGACGCCGUCCUCACCGAGCCCGAAAGAAGCCCCAGUUAGACCAAUCUCAUGGAGAAAACGCACUCCGCCCUCCUCGCCAUCCCCCUUCCCGUGUGUUGUCCCACACGUACUCGUGACAUUGGGGUCAGAUGAGUCAGAGUCCUUGGGGGAGGCUGGUCACACAGUAGAUGGCCGUGGGAGAGAUGGCCAGACGGUAAGGAGGAAGGGGCUGAGCGACCUCAGACAGCUCCCUGCAGUGAGAGGCGCUGAGAUCACCGAUAUCCCGCGAGGGCAGAGGGCGCACUGGGGACAGGGGGCUUGGUGGUCACCUCGGCUGGAACAAAGCUGCCAGCCCCCUGGGGUCCUAGAGCCUUCCAGAGAGGAAAAGCCCGGGACGUGUGGGCUCAGGACUGGACUGUGGGGGUAAAUGAUCCCUCCUCCCGCUCUAGGGGUACCUGUGUCACACUGGGGGGCCAGGAUUCAGUAUAGCACGUGGGUGGGCGCAAAGGGAGGAGAGAGGAUGGGAGUGUGGCACCGUCUUCUUGUCAACCGUAUAAUCCUCCAACCCAGCUCUGGAGGGACCUUGUCCCACAUCUGAGAGAGAGAAGCCACAAAAGGCAGAAAGAAGUGAAGCGUAACUCCUUAGAAUCUGCUAGAAACUGAAGAGAGCGUGGCCUGUGUGCUUAGGGUCUUAUACAAGGAUCCCAAAACGGGUGGGCAGAGGCUCACAUCUCUUUCACUUCUGCUAAAGCAACAUAUAAAGAAAUAGGAAGAAGAUGGGGCCGCCGAGGAGACGAGGAGGGGUCACAGACAGAUACAAACCACGGAGACCCGACAAGGUCAGCUGAGGGCAGGGCAGGGGUGUUCAGGGUGGUGCCGUUACAAAGGUGACCCACUGGCCUGUGUUGGUCACCUAACAGCUUGUCACAAGGCCAUCAAAACAGGGGUAGCGAUCAAGAAUAAAUACCAAGAAGGGCGCCUGGGUGGCUGAGUCGGUUAAGUGUCUGACUUCAGCUCAGGUCAUGAUCUCAUGGAUCGUGGGUUCGAGCCCCGUGUCAGGCUCUGUGCAGACAGCUGGGAGCCUGGAGCCUGCUUGGGAUUCUCUCUCUCUCUCUCUCUCUCUCUCUCUCUCUCUCUCUCUCUGUCUCUCUCUCUGCCCCUCCCCUGCUUGCUCCUUCUCUCUCAAAAUAAAUAAACUUAAAAAAAAAAAAAAAAAGUAAACACUGAGAAUCCCCAAAUGCCCUUUUCCCCUUUUUAGGUUGGUCCCAUUCUAUCUUGUGAGACCAAUUCUGUGACCGUUGACUCCAGUAACAAAAAAGAAAUGGGGGGCCUGUAUGGCCUUUAUUCCUUCCCUUUCAUUCUCCUGAGCAUGCCACGGUUACCAUAGUUCACAGAGGCAGCCGUCUGCGACACACGGGACAUUUCUUAAGCUGGGUCUUCUCUGCAGAUAGGUUGAGGCUCCCUGUGGCCCCCGCGCUGUGAAGCACCAAGGACUACCCCUCCCCCACUCCCCAGUCCUGGGACCAAAAAACACUGAAAUCCAAGGCAGCCCUGCGGGGGGGGGGGUGCCGCACGGGGCCACUGAUCAGGCGGCCAAGAGCCCAGGAGCACCCACACCACAGGGACACACGGGGGCUGCAGCUGGUAAAUCUGUGCCCUGUGCCGCCCAGGCAUAAACCCAGGGGCUAUUGGAGCCAGCCUGGCAGAGGAGAGCCUCCCCGGCGACAGUGAGGAUGCAGGCAGCCCCAGCAUCCCGCCAGAAAAACUGAGGAUGGCGGGGGGGGGGGGGGGCCAGGUUCCGGAGACCCCAGCCAUCGGGCUCAUUAUGACUCUACUCUUCCCCUCCUGUCUCCUUCCCCGAACACCAGAUAGAAACGCCAGUUACACGGGGCACAAAAGGAUAGUGUGCCUUUCUUUUUAAAUCAAGAUCACUGCCUGCCCCCUCCCCUUCUAUAUAUGCUUUCCAGUUCCUGUCUUGACACCUACUGGCUUGUGGGACAGGGAAGGUGCCUUCUCUGUGUUCGCUCCUCCCCAGAGCUGCUGGCGAGAAGGGCCACUCAGGUCUCUCAAGAACCGAAAAUGCCAUUGGCUCCAGUCCAGGAGAGAACAUAGGGUACGAUUCCAUGUAUACAAAGUACACAACCAGGCAAAACUAAGCGAGGCCGUGAGUGGCGAGCACAAUGGUUACCCCCUCGGGGUCCAGUAACGAGGAGCGGGGACCAGGGGGCCUGGGGAGAGGGUGCCGCCCGUGUGCCGUUGCUUAGUCUGGGUCCUGGUGAAAGAUGCAUCCGGCCGGUGACAAGAAAAUUGAACCCUUAUGGCUUGUCCACGUUCUUCGCCACAUGAAAUGCCAAUACGAAGUUUGAAAAACCUAUCGGCUCCAACCGUACAACAAAAGUAAAAUAAAAUCCUGGGAGACCGAGGUCUUGCUUGACUUGGUUCUGCCUGGGUGCAAAGCGCGGAGUCGUAGGACCACGGAAGCGAACAGCUGCCCCGCAAGAGAAGCUGAGAUCUGCUUUUUGGGUCACUGUUUUCCCAGGUGGUUGGGAGGUGGGGGGCACGGUUGACUCAUUUUCCUUGCUCCUCCCUCCUGCUCCGUCCCCACCGUGUGGGGCUGGAUGGGGGCCAAGGGCUGGAGAAUUUGGGCUGUUGCUUUGGUAAUGCUUAAAUAUUGGCUUCGAGUUAUAAUGGUAACAUAAAUAAGCAGGAGCCUUGGGGAGGUCAAAGCGGCCCAGCCUGUUGUCCCAGAUCCCUGGUCAAAGCCCAUGCACCGCGGUGGCUCAGCUCACCGAAGUCUCUAGGUCUCUCCAGCUAGGACAGAAGAUAGGUUAGGGGCUGCACGUGCCCCAGAUGCUCAGGGACCCAUUCUCCACGCUAGAUGUCCUGUCUCAAUAGACUCUCCUAAGAUUCUUGCUCACGGUGGUCUGGCGAUAUAGUGGCCAGGAACCCGAAUCGGGGGCCUGGGGAAAACUUUCUCCGUCUCUGAAGGCGGGGCGCGCACGGGGGCAGCUCGUAGAGCUAAGAUCACUGCUAUCAGCAGCCCUGCUUGCUUUUCGGAAGCCCAGGGCAAAGGAAAUUGAGUCGUUUCUAGAGGGUACGUCCAGGGACCGGGAGCCGGGGAAGUGAGAUGCACGGCGGCGGCCGAGCAGAUGAGGCCGCUGGUCCAGGAGGCAGAACAGAGUCUUGCCCAAGAUAAAUUCUGAAUUCCAAUCCUCGCUCUUUGCAACCAAAAAGGCCUCGGAUUUGGAGGCGUACAGCAAGCCCUUGACUCCUCUGGGCCUCGGUGUCCCCGUCUGUAAGCCAUCGAGAGAGUGGGACUCCGGCCCUGGGAACGAGUCCCUUCGAAGCUCCUCCCAGCAGGCCCUCCCCACGCAGAUGUUCAGCGUGCUCGCCCGGCCCGUUCCAAAAGCAUCCAGAUAAUAAACCUCCACCGAAGUCUUGGCUCCGAAGGUCAGCUCGUCCUGCUGUGUGUGUGAGGGAGGAGAGAGCACACAGACUUGGGCAGGGGUGGGGUGGGGACAGCUCCCUCUGGGCAAACGCUGAGCCCUGGGCGGUGCUGGGAGGAGCCCGGAGUGUGUGACCACCGGCAUGAGGUCAUCGCUGCCCUCCCCCUGGGGCGUGAUGUGUCAGCAGGCUGAGAGGGGCCUGGAAGCCGUGAUUCAUGGCGGUGAACAUUCCUCCCGCAGACCUCAACCCUCAGCCCACGGCUGCCCUUCCCAGCUGCCUCCUUGUGUUCUCUCCCUCCGGCUCGGUCCUCCUAAGGCUCCAGCCGCAGGCAGCCAGGAGGGCGUGGGGUGACACAGGGCACCAUGGGGGCCGGGUGUCCCCGCGGAGGCUGGCAAUGCUCCUUUUGACCCGCUGGGCCCCUGCAGGGCCACAGGCAGCACAGUGAUGCUAGCGGUCGUUCACGGGACACCUCCUAUGUGCUGUGUGUCCAAUGCUUGCGGUGACAGCUGUCCCUUGAGGGGGUGUUUUUGUCUCCCGGGACGGCCCAUGACAAAGUGCCACAACCCGGGUGAGGAAAACAACAUAUAUCAGUUCUCCGGGUCCAGGAGGCCACAAGUCAGAUGUCAAGGUGCCGGCAGGCCCACGGUCCCUCCAAAGGCUCCGGGGGAGAAUUCUUCCUGGCCGCCUCCAGCUCCUGGAAGCUCCAGGUAUCCCGUGGCUUUUGGCCACAUGACUCCACUCUCCGCUUUGCUCUCGGGUGGCCUUCUCCGCUCUGUUCACGUCUCUCUGUGUGGCCUCUCGUCUUCUUACAAGGACACCAGCGGGCAGAUUUAGGGUCCACCCUCAGGCCAGGGUGAUGUCAGCACGAGAUCCUUAACCGAUUACAUCUGCAAAGGCCCGACUUCCCAGUAAGGUCCCAGGGGUGGAGGCGAAUUUGCGGAUCCCCUUUUUUACCGAUGAGGAAACGGAACGGGCAAAGUGGUGGUUCUUCAGUCCGUCCCAUCCCACGUGGUGCCACGACCCACCCCGCUGUGUCCGCUGACACCCGGACACAUCCAAGCAGGAGGGGAGCCACGUGGGAAAUCUCAGCUCCCGGGAGCAAAGCACGGUCCCACACGCCAAUCAUCCUCCAGCUUCAGUUGCGGGCGAAUCCCCGAAAGGAGGCUGUAAAAUCCUUCGCGGGUUCUGACCCAGUUGGCUGGCGGGGAGGGGAGAGCCACACCGUAAACAAGGCCCCAAACCGCAUGUGACUCGGCACAGGCAGGUUCCGACGGUCCGACACCGCGUCCUGAGAAUCCCAGACGCAUCCAUUGAGACCAGACCCCGGCCUGGAGAUCAGCCCGUCUCCGGCUCAAGCGCAAAGAGCUUUUCCCCAGGCCCAGCCCGUUCCCGUGCUGGCGUCACCUGCGCCUCCUCGGUGCCAAGCGACCAUGGAGACCCAGCGCUCGCUCUCCCUGCCAGCAGGGGUCCCGGCCACGCGCCCCAUGCAGCGCAGCUCCGUCCCACGGCCCAGAGCCCCGAGCAAAACAGGGAGCAAGCAGGAGUAAAGGGAAGAAAAGGAGUCUCACCAGCAAGCAGGCCCUGUGGAAUGAGGGUGCAUCCUAGGAUCCCUGCGAAUGGACAGCUGCUGUGUUUUUAUUUCGUAUUAAGGUGAGAUUC